CCUACGGGUGGCUGCAGUAGGGAAUAUUGGACAAUGGGUGGAAGCCUGAUCCAGCCAUGCCGCGUGCAGGAAGACGGCCUUCUGGGUUGUAAACUGCUUUUGCCAGGGGAUAAAAAGCCCGUGCGCGGGAAAUUGAAGGUACCUGGUGAAUAAGCCACGGCUAACUACGUGCCAGCAGCCGCGGUAAUACGUAGGUGGCGAGCGUUGUCCGGAUUUAUUGGGUUUAAAGGGUGCGUAGGCGGUCUGUUAAGUCAGUGGUGAAAUACGGCAGCUCA
rnacentral:rRNA from 1 species